rnacentral:rRNA from 1 species
AUCAGUAUGAAUUUAAUUUUGGUUCUGAUUGAACGUUAUUCAGUAGUUUUAAGACAUGCGAAUCGAUGUUCAAGUUAACUAAUUCUUAUAGAAAUCAGGUAAGUUAAACUACAACAAUUUAUUAUAAGGUAAUUAGAAACAGAAUAUGGUGUAAAGGUGAGUAAUGAUAAAUUAGAUACUUUAUAGACCUCUCAAAUAGGGGAUAGUUUAAUUAAAUUAUACUUAAUUAAGCAUAAAUUUAGCUUAUUUAUAAAUAAAGACUGUUAACUUGUCCAUUAAAAUCUUAAUUUAUACAGGUUUUAGCUGAAAAGGUUUCUAUAGUCGCUAUAAGAAUCGAUUUAUUUUGUUUAAUGGUAGUUGGUGGGGUAAAAGCCUACCAAGCCUACGAUCAAUAGCCAAGUUUGAUAGAACAUAUGGCCACAUUGGGAAUGAGAUGCCCCAAAUUGCAUACGCAAUCAGCAGUCAAGAAUAUUAGUCAAUGCUCGCAAGAGUGAACUAGCUAACUGAAAUCUUAAGAUCUUUAAGAAUGGUACUUGAGAUAACGUAAGGGAAAAAAAUGAUAGUACCUUACUAUAAGUGUUGUCCAAUUAACUGGUGCCAGAAGACUCGGUAACGCCAGAAACGCAAACGUUAGUCGUCCUAAUCAGGCGUAAAGGGUAAGUAGGCUGCUUUAAAAGUUAUUAUAUAAAAAGCUCUUUAAUUAACAAAAGUAUAGUAAUAAUGAAUUAAAGCUAGAAUCAAAUAGAGGAUAAGCCAAAUAAUAUUUAGAGUAGGGGUGAAAUCCUUAGAUACUAAAUGGAAUACUAAAGGUGAAAACAUUUAUCUAAAAUUGAUUGACGCUGAGGAACGAAGGUGAGAAUAGAAAAUAGGAUUUGAGACCCAGAUAUCUCUCACUGUCAACGAUGAAUGGUGGUUGUUAGUUUUAAAAAAAACUAGUAACGAUGUUAACGCGAUAACCAUUCCGCCUUGCGAGUACGGUUGCAAAACUGAAACCAAAAAAAUUAGUCGGUCUCGAAGCAAACGGAGUGAAGCAUGUUAUUUAAUACGUAAUUACGCGUAAAAUCUUACCAGUUCUUGCAUAGGCGGAUUACUUAUGUCCAUUUUUAAGUUUAGUCAAGAUUUAGAAAUAUGGAUACGGUGAAAAGUAACAGGUGUUGCAUGGCUGUCGUAAGUCCGUAUUUUAAGAAGUGAGGUUAACUCCACUAACGGACGAAAUCCCUGUUGUUAAUUUAUACUUAACUAUUUAUGAAUUUUAAAUAUUUUCAUUGGGGGCUAAGACAAGUCCUUAUGGCCCUUAUGAACUGGGCUAUAGACGUGCCACAAAGGACUUUUACAAAGUGAUGCGAAACCUUAAUUAAGUAAUUAAACUAAAUUAUAAAAAAGGAAGAGCUAAUCAUUAAAGAAAGUUAAUUAUAUUAUAUUUGAACAGAUUGUAGCCUGGAAUUCGGCAACAUGAAGAAGGAAUUUCGAGUAAUCGUUGAUCACUAGCGCAACGGUGAAGAUAGCAUUCGGGAUGAACUAACUGUCUGUCGCUGGGAAGGAGCUCGGAUCGGGGGAAACUGCCGCUUAAUUAUCACUUACAACAAAAUAAGUUUAAUUAACUAUAUCUGCUUAUUUUUUAAAAAGUAAAUUAGAUUUAGUUAAUGACUGUAGCACUAUAUAUUUAUUUAUAGUACAAAUUUGUUAAGCUAAUUAGUUUCAGUUAACCCUUCUGAGUAACAUCUCAAAAGUCAUAGCAAGGUAGCCGUACUGGAAGGUGCUGCUGGAAAUUAUUUCAA